CUUUUAAAGGAUAAUAGUAAUCCAUUGGUCUUAGGAACCAAAUACUCCUGGUGCAACUCCAAGUGAAAGC
rnacentral:tRNA from 1 species